rnacentral:lncRNA from 1 species
UGUCCCAGACUGCAUCCCUGCUGAGAGUCCCUCCCUCCCUUCUCAUGUUGCAGGAAGAACGUAAGCGCCCGCCCCUUGUCAAUCAGUCACCAUAUAACUUUGGAUUGGUUGUUGUGGUGAAGUUUUCCACCAAUAGGAGAGAUGUUGUGGUGUGUUUUUUUUUUCUUUUGGCAAGCCUUUUCCGCCUGUAAGACCUGUCGCUAAUGUCUGCAUGCUAUGUUUUCCUGUCUCAUACAGCGCGAUCGAGCGCCGAACGUGAUCAAAAUAAGCAGAAAAAAAGUAUCGCGGACAUAAUUUAUCAUAACUCUGGUUUUAUUUGGCCUAUCAACACAAUUUAAAAACUGGUAUAUAGGUUGAGGUCCUCACUUUUGAGAUAAGUUGAAACGGAGAGUCAACGAGGCUCCGUCUUGCAGCUACAUCCGGUUAAAUAUGUCAUGUGACUUGAACGCACACACAGACACACACACACGCACACACGCACACACACACACGCACACACACACACACACACACUCAGAGUCUGGUUUUUAGCACCUGCAAAAACAUGCUAUUUACAUAUUUGACAAGAAUGCAGAGGCUCCUUUUGCCCCUGAAAAAAAUCAAAUUUCAAACACAACUUGACUGGUCAUUUCUCCAAAAGACAACCAUGAAGCUCCAUCCAAACCUGAAGCAGGCAGUUGGUGCAUGUGUACAGUAACCUGAGGGGAGUGAGGUGAGUGCUUCUGAGGAGAACAUGAGCAGUGAAGAUUCACCUUGGAGCUAGAACAGAGACAUGCACAUGAUUAUACAGGGGCAGGGGCUCAAGUUUUUUCCAGUCGUUUAUACAAUAUGGAAAUUAAUGUGAAAUUAAAACACAAAGUAUUAAUAGAAAGGUAAUGACUGUCCUGUGUAGGUGACAGUGAUAUCCAAUAGGCUAGGCACUCACGAGGCUGGCUGUGGCAAGUGUAAGUGAAAGCAACACGCACUGGCAGCAAGAACAGCAAACGCCGAUGAAGGAAAAGGGUCUUUGCAGUGAUGGGCGUUACCAGAGAGGGCGAUGGCCAGAGGACACAAAUGGGACGGGAAGGCAGCACGUUGGGGGGGGGGGGACGCGACACGGCUCGGGCCCGCCAGUGCCCCAACGGGGUCCUAGUUAUUUUUCCUCCCCUUUGAACUGGAAAAUGGCCCACUUCCCACUGGCGAAAACUCAUGAAAUUUGGCAGGACGACCGGGCCUGGUGAAAAAUUUGAUAUUCCGAAGUCGCCCAAACAAGAAAAUGCAAAAUGGCUCCAUAGCGCCCCCUAAGGUGAAAAUUCACACUAUUCACUGUCACGCCUGUACGCUUUGUCAAAAUGACACAAAAAUUGACACACACAUGUAUCUCAAUAAGAUCUACAAAAAAGUCAGUGCGGGCGUAUCUGUCAAAUGUACGGUUAAAGGGUUAUUUCGCAUUUUUUGCCGAUCCGCACACAUUGGAAUUUCACUAACUCCUCCGAAGGCUUUCGUUCCACCAGCACCACAUUUGCUCAGGCCAAUCUACACCCCAUGGCCAUUAAAAGUUAUUCAAAUCAUGACGCUGCACCCCACGGUUUAGGUUCUAGGGGGCGCCAAAGAUAACCCUAAGAUCCACAUAUUUAAAAGUCUUAUAACUUUUUAUUUUUGCCCUCACUGGCCUCCAAGUUUUCUAGGAUGAUGCAAUGUCCAGCCAUCAACACAUUUGUGAAGGAAUUUUUACUCCCCAAAAGAGCGCCCCCCCAUGGCAGGAGAAAAAAGUCCAUUUUUUCUUGUCCCCUAAGGUGAAAAUAAACAUUGUUGAGUGUAACACCUGUACGCUUUGGCAAAAUGACACAAAAAUUGACACACACAUGUAUCUCAAUAAGAUCUACGAAAAAGUCAAUGCGCGCGUAUCUGUCAAAUGUACAGUUAAAGGGUUAUUCCGCAUUUUUUGCCGAUCCGCACACAUUGGAAUUUCGCUAACUCCUCCGAAGGCUUUCGUUCCACCGGCACCACAUUUGCUCAGGCCAAUCUACACCCCAUGGCCAUUAAAAGUUAUUCAAAUCAUGAUGCUGCACCCCACGGUUUAGGUUCUAGGGGGCGCCAAAGAUAACCGUAAAAUCCACAUAUUUAAAAGUCUUAUAACUUUUUAUUUUUGUCCCCACUGGCCUCCAAGUUUUCUAGGAUGAUGCAAUGUCCAGCCAUCAACACAUUUGUGAAGGAAUUUUUACUCGCCAAAAGAGCGCCCCCCCAUGGCAGGAGAAAAAGUCCAUUUUUUCUUGUCCACUAAGGUGAAAAUACACAUUGUUGAGUGCUACGCCUGUAUGUUUUGUCGUAUUGACACAAAAUUUUACAUACACGUGUAUUUCAAUAAGAUCUUCGAAAAAGUCAAUGGCCACGUAUCUGUAAAAUGUACGGUUAAAGGGUUAUUUCGCAUUUUUUGCAGAUUCGCACACAUUGGAAUUUCGCUAACUCCUCCGAAGGCUUUCGUUCCACCGGCACCACAUUUGCUCAGGCCAAUCUACACCCCAUGGCCAUUAAAAGUUAUUCAAAUCAUGACGCUGCACCCCACGGUUUAGGUUCUAGGGGGCGCCAAAGAUAACCCUAAGAUCCACAUAUUUAAAAGUCUUAUAACUUUUUAUUUUUGCCCUCACUGGCCUCCAAGUUUUCUAGGAUGAUGCAAUGUCCAGCCAUCAACACAUUUGUGAAGGAAUUUUUACUCCCCAAAAGAGCGCCCCCCCAUGGCAGGAGAAAAAAGUCCAUUUUUUCUUGUCCCCUAAGGUGAAAAUAAACAUUGUUGAGUGUAACACCUGUACGCUUUGGCAAAAUGACACAAAAAUUGACACACACAUGUAUCUCAAUAAGAUCUACGAAAAAGUCAAUGCGCGCGUAUCUGUCAAAUGUACAGUUAAAGGGUUAUUCCGCAUUUUUUGCCGAUCCGCACACAUUGGAAUUUCGCUAACUCCUCCGAAGGCUUUCGUUCCACCGGCACCACAUUUGCUCAGGCCAAUCUACACCCCAUGGCCAUUAAAAGUUAUUCAAAUCAUGACGCUGCACCCCACGGUUUAGGUUCUAGGGGGCGCCAAAGAUAACCCUAAAAUCCACAUAUUUAAAAGUCUUAUAACUUUUUAUUUUUGUCCUCACUGGCCUCCAAGUUUUCUAGGAUGAUGCAAUGUCCAGCCAUCAACACAUUUGUGAAGGAAUUUUUACUCCCCAAAAGAGCGCCCCCCCAUGGCAGGAGAAAAAAGUCCAUUUUUUCUUGUCCCAUAAGGUGAAAAUACACAUUGUUGACUGUCAUACCUGUAUGCUUUGUCAUAUUGACACAAAAUUUGACACACACAUGUAUCUCAAUAAGAUCUACGAAAAAGUCAAUGCGCGCGUAUCUGUAAAAUGUACGGUUAAAGGGCUAUUUUGCAUUUUUUGCCGAUUAGCACACAUUGGAAUUUCGCUAACUCCUCCGAAGGCUUUCGUUCCACCGGCACCACAUUUGCUCAGGCCAAUCUACACCCCAUGGCCAUUAAAAGUUAUUCAAAUCAUGACGCUGCACCCCACGGUUUAGGUUCUAGGGGGCGCCAAAGAUAACCCUAAGAUCCACAUAUUUAAAAGUCUUAUAACUUUUUAUUUUUGCCCUCACUGGCCUCCAAGUUUUCUAGGAUGAUGCAAUGUCCAGCCAUGAACACAUUUGUGAAGGAGUUUUUUCUCGUUAAAAGGAAUUUUUACUCCCCAAAAGAGCGCCCCCCCAUGGCAGGAGAAAAAAGUCCAUUUUUUCUUGUCCCCUAAGGUGAAAAUACACAUUGUUGAGUGUCACGCCUAUAUGCUUUGUCAAAAUGACACAAAAAUUGACACACACAUGUAACUCAAUAAAAUCUACGAAAAAGUCAAUGCGCGCGUAUCUGUCAAAUGUACGGUUAAAGGGUUAUUCCGCAUUUUUUGCCGAUCCGCACACAUUGGAAUUUCGCUAACUCCUCCGAAGGCUUUCGUUCCACCGGCACCACAUUUGCUCAGGCCAAUCUACACCCCAUGGCCAUUAAAAGUUAUCAAAAUCAUGACGCUGCACCCCACGGUUUACGUUCUAGGGGGCGCCAAAGAUAACCCUAAAAUCCACAUAUUUAAAAGUCUUAUAACUUUUUAUUUUUGUCCUCACUGGCCUCCAAGUUUUCUAGGAUGAUGCAAUGUCCAGCCAUCAACACAUUUGUGAAGGAAUUUUUACUCCCCAAAAGAGCGCCCCCCCAUGGCAGGAGAAAAAAGUCCAUUUUUUCUUGUCCCUUAAGGUGAAAAUACAUAUUGUUGAGAUUCACGCCUAUACGCUUUGUCAUAUUGACACAAAAUUUGAUAAUCACGUGCCUUGCCUGGUAUCAUUUUUUUCAGCACAACCUCACCUGUGCGAAUUUACAGUUAUUUUAUCAUGUUGACAUACUGAAUUUACACAAUGGACCCAAAUUCACACACAAAACAUAAAAUCCGAGUGGAAAAAAGUAACAUUUUUACUGUGAAAACCACAAAUAUGUGUGAUGAACUGUUUUUAAAACUUAAACUUCAAAUAAAAAUUGUAAACUUCAAAACAUAUGCAAAUUUUUAACAAAGAACAUAGUGAUUUACCUCUAUUUACAUCAAAAUGCAGGCAAUGGCCCAGGCGUUCUUUGUAAAAUUAUUUACAAAACACUGUAUAGUCUCACAAAUGUCACUUUUUAUUUAUGCCACUACAAAAAAACAUGAUGUAAAUGAUGCAUGAUGUAAAACAUGAUGUAAAAAACUUGUGUAGAUCCUCCUCUAUGUCAGUCCAUGUGUAAUUUUUCCAUAAUUCUUUGUUUUUUGCAGCAUUUUUGUUAGUGUAACUGCAGAUUGUGCUGACAGUGUCUAUGGCACAAAAAAAAAAAAAAAAUUAAAAUGCCUCAACAUGAACCCCUGGUGGUCUCUGAGGGUGAAACCUGCUAACUGCUGCAGCUCUGUCAGCUUCAGUCUCCCAUGCAGAGCUCUGAGCGCAUGUGUGGCUCUGCACCCUUAGCAGCGUUGCUAACUCCUCAGUAAGGAAAGCCUGCUUCAUGUCAGAGUCUCUAAACUCCAGAAGAAGUCGAUAAAAGUCCCUUUCUUUCUAAAAAAAAAGUCGUUAGGGGGUCUGAAAAGUCAUUGAAUCUAACAACAAAGUCGCUAGGUUUGCAACUACGUGUCCCAGACUGCAUCCCUGCUGAGAGUCCCUCCCUCCCUUCUCAUGUUGCAGGAAGAACGUAAGCAUAUAAUUUUGGAUUGGUUGUUGUGGUGAAGUUUUCCACCAAUAGGAGAGAUGUUGUGGUGUGUUUUUUUUUUCUUUUGGCAAGCCUUUUCCGCCUGUAAGACCUGUCGCUAAUGUCUGCAUGCUAUGUUUUCCUGUCUCAUACAGCGCGAUCGAGCGCCGAACGUGAUCAAAAUAAGCAGAAAAAAAGUAUCGCGGACAUAAUUUAUCAUAACUCUGGUUUUAUUUGGCCUAUCAACACAAUUUAAAAACUGGUAUAUAGGUUGAGGUCCUCACUUUUGAGAUAAGUUGAAACGGAGAGUCAACGAGGCUCCGUCUUGCAGCUACAUCCGGUUAAAUAUGUCAUGUGACUUGAACGCACACACAGACACACGCACACACACACACACACUCAGAGUCUGGUUUUUAGCACCUGCAAAAACAUGCUAUUUACAUAUUUGACAAGAAUGCAGAGGCUCCUUUUGCCCCUGAAAAAAAUCAAAUUUCAAACACAACUUGACUGGUCAUUUCUCCAAAAGACAACCAUGAAGCUCCAUCCAAACCUGAAGCAGGCAGUUGGUGCAUGUGUACAGUAACCUGAGGGGAGUGAGGUGAGUGCUUCUGAGGAGAACAUGAGCAGUGAAGAUUCACCUUGGAGCUAGAACAGAGACAUGCACAUGAUUAUACAGGGGCAGGGGCUCAAGUUUUUUCCAGUCGUUUAUACAAUAUGGAAAUUAAUGUGAAAUUAAAACACAAAGUAUUAAUAGAAAGGUAAUGACUGUCCUGUGUAGGUGACAGUGAUAUCCAAUAGGCUAGGCACUCACGAGGCUGGCUGUGGCAAGUGUAAGUGAAAGCAACACGCACUGGCAGGAAGAACAGCAAACGCCGAUGAAGGAAAAGGGUCUUUGCAGUGAUGGGCGUUACCAGAGAGGGCGAUGGCCAGAGGACACAAAUGGGACGGGGAGGCAGCACGUUGGGGGGGGGACGCGACACGGCUCGGGCCCGCCAGUGCCCCAACGGGGUCCUAGUUAUUAUUUUUCCUCCCCUUUGAACUGGAAAAUGGCCCACUUCCCACUGGCGAAAACUCAUGAAAUUUGGCAGGACGACCGGGCCUGGUGAAAAAUUUGAUAUUCCGAAGUCGCCCAAACAAGAAAAUGCAAAAUGGCUCCAUAGCGCCCCCUAAGGUGAAAAUUCACACUAUUGACUGUCACGCCUGUACGCUUUGUCAAAAUGACACAAAAAUUGACACACACAUGUAUCUCAAUAAGAUCUACAAAAAAGUCAGUGCGGGCGUAUCUGUCAAAUGUACGGUUAAAGGGUUAUUUCGCAUUUUUUGCCGAUCCGCACACAUUGCAAUUUCGCUAACUCCUCCGAAGGCUUUCGUUCCACCGGCACCACAUUUGCUCAGACCAAUCUACACCCCAUGGCCAUUAAAAGUUAUUCAAAUCAUGAUGCUGCACCCCACGGUUUAGGUUCUAGGGGGCGCCAAAGAUAACCCUAAGAUCCACAUAUUUAAAAGUCUUAUAACUUUUUAUUUUUGCCC